GACGAACGCUGGCGGCGUGCUUAACACAUGCAAGUCGAACGGAAAGGCCCUGCUUUUGUGGGGUGCUCGAGUGGCGAACGGGUGAGUAACACGUGAGUAACCUGCCCUUGACUUUGGGAUAACUUCAGGAAACUGGGGCUAAUACCGGAUAGGAGCUCCUGCUGCAUGGUGGGGGUUGGAAAGUUUCGGCGGUUGGGGAUGGACUCGCGGCUUAUCAGCUUGUUGGUGGGGUAGUGGCUUACCAAGGCUUUGACGGGUAGCCGGCCUGAGAGGGUGACCGGGCACAAUGGGACUGAGGUACGGCCCAGACGCCUACGGGACGCAGCAGGGGGGAAUAUUGCACAAUGGGCGGAAGCGUGAUGCAGCAGCCCCGCGUGCGGGAUGACGGGCUUCGGGGUGUAAACCACUUUCGCCUUUGACGAGGCGUGAGUGACGGUAAUGGGUAAAGAAGCACCGGCUAACUACGUG
rnacentral:rRNA from 1 species